GUCUCGGUAGUGUAAGGGAUAAAAGCACGGUCCCCGAAAAGGACAAGUACGGGUUCGAAUCCCGUCCGAGACU
rfam:Haemonchus placei strain MHpl1 genome assembly, scaffold: HPLM_scaffold0000817